AAUUUAAUAGUUUAAUUAAAACAAUGAUCUUGUAAAUCAUAGAUAGAUUUCUUUAAAUUA
rnacentral:tRNA from 1 species